GAUGGAAUUUGUCUUGUUCUACAAUUUUUUUUUCAGCAAAUGUGACCAUCAUCAAUGCUAGACAAGGUGUAUGCCAGAGGCUAAAGAAAAGCUACACGUAUGAGAAAUUACUAUUUUAUAUACAUGUGAUUUUACACCCUUCACCCCAAACUGAAAAUUCCUACAUAGCCUGCAAAGAUCUCAUACUAAGCUGGGUAGUAUCAAGAGGUUGGAAGUGCACAGACUACGAAUCAUCUUUGAAUUUGUCCUUCCUGGAACAUAGUUUUGUUGUUCAUAUGGGAUGCUUGUUCAUGGUUUAAUGAACCAAGUAUGCUCCACCCUCAUUAUAAUGCUUGUAGUAACUGCUCUCUGAUAAGAUUACUGUACUCUGGCUAUAAUCUCCAUUAAGCUGUAUUCCAGUUACCUCACUGUAAUUUUAUUACAACUUUAGAACACUCAGAUGUUUGACUCUCCUAGAAUCUCUUGCUGUCUAUCUCUUGUUCUAUUUCUUUAGAGAUACUACUGUCUCUGGUUACCAUUCUAUAGUGUCUUGGUGCAGCUGUCUGCUAUUUUCAUUCCAAAUAUGGAGUGCAAACCUCUAGAGUUGCCUGAUCAUGUCCAUUCUGAUCCCCUGUCUUCAGGUGCUCAGACUUUCUGAAACAUUAAUCUUUUCAGGCAGAGUGUUGUUGUUUUUUUUAAAAGUGCUCCCUCUCUAAAGAUUCGUAUUUGUGUAACAGCUGCCCCAACCAGUAUGGCCCCAUUUGUGCUAGGAGCUGUACACAUAAUGUACUAAGAGACAGUACCGCCCUAAAGAAUUUACAGUCUAACUAGACAAGGCUUGGGAACUGAGGCACAGGCAGAUUGAGUGACCUGUCCAAUUUGAAACACGAAUUCUGUGAACGAGCUGGGAAGUGAAUCCAGAUCAUCUGAGCCCCAAUCCCACGCUUUAAGCACAAAGCCAGUCUUCCUUUCAGAUAACUUUAAGCCAUGUAUUUUCAGCCUUUUUGGGGAGUGAGAGAACUUGGAACAAUACUUUCCUUAUUCAUGUACAUGUGCACUGAGUAUAAGUAUUUAGAAUGUUGUUAGCAGAUCUAGCAGCUAAGUGACUAGAUGUAGAAAGUUGGACUAUUUGACAAGUACCUUUGAAUGCUCUAGUGAAAACUGGAUUUGAUUUGACUGAAUCAUGACCCACUGAAAAUAAUGUUUUAAGUAUGCUCAGUAAAUGUUGAAUGGCAAUGCCCAGCUCUUGAAGUGCCCAGCAUGGUGCAUGGCUAACUUUGCUGUGUAUUGACUAAUAUACUAAAGGUAUGCACUGAGAAACCCUUCUCACAGUGCAUUUUAAGGCAUGAUUUUGAGUGGUGCACAUUUGAGGAGCUCUUCUGAUUUCAAAGAAUGCUCUACUUCACCUACAACCUAUUAAUAUCUCAAAUACAAUGUGCAACCAGCUAAAACUAUCGCAAGAACAAUCAACUGUCAAUAGGUCUUUUCGCUUCAAUUUUUCAAAUUGUGUGUCAAUAUCAAUGAAGCCUCAUCUCAAUGACUCAGAUUAGAGCCAAUGACAGUAUCAAAGAUUAGCCUAAAAUAUGUCAGUUUUCUCAGUUUUCUGUGGGUUCUCCUGGAUAACAAAUCAAAUCUUAAACAGGGCAUGCUACUGUAAUGGGCUACACGUUGACUGAUAUUGCUUUCCUCUACUGAUAUUCAAACAGCAAGCAUAAUGUUUUGGGUGAUGUCCCUUUAACAGGAGCUAGGACAGAAUGUUGGAACCCAAGGUUCUGUGGCAGAUGGAGCGACAUUUGCAAUUGGGAAGAAACAAGGAUAGGCUGCCAAAAUGUUAACCAGAGGCUCCCUCAAAAAUGUUCUGCCUCAGUCAAAGAUACAUAUGAAUUCUUCAAGUAAAAUACGGUACUAUUCCCUCCAAAAGAAAUGCCAUCAUUCCAAUACUCUUUCCCUCCACAAAAAAUAAUAAAUAAAUAAAUAAAUCCA
rnacentral:lncRNA from 1 species